rnacentral:lncRNA from 1 species
AAAGUUUAUGAUUAAUCAAGUGGUUUUUGACUAGUGGUAAAUGGUUCACGGCUGUGAGUAUCGUUAUGGGUAUGAUUUUUCUUGGUCACUCGAAAUUUUUUAAAUGAUAAAAAAAUAUGGAUCAUGUGGACCUGAUAGUGAUUAAUCUUUGAACCUAAAAAUUUUUUGGGAUUUAUUACGGUUAUAAAAAAAAAGGUUUAUGAUCAGUGUGUAUGUUUAUUAUUCUCUACAAUAAUAACUAAUACAAACAACCUUGACAAGAGAAAUAAUUAAUUCGUAAACCCUUUCUCAAAAAAAAAGAAAUUAAUUCGAACAUCUUUUUAUCAACAAUGGAAUGGUAGUAUGGUACUUUCCUUCAAACAAAAAAAAACAAUGGAAUGGUAGCGACAACUUGCAUUUUAUCCCCCACUUCUUUUCUUCUUCUCUCUCUUUUCUUAUCGCAAGAAAUUAUUUUCUGUCAUUUACAACAUAAAAAAAAAAAGAUUUUCUGUCGAUUGCUUACUUUUUGUUUUUCAUUUCCCGACAGCUCUAUUUUUUUAUUAGAUACACA